rnacentral:rRNA from 1 species
GCGCACUGCUCAGUAACACGUGGACAACCUGCCCUGAGGACUGGAAUAAUCCCGGGAAACUGGGGGUAAUUCCAGAUAUGUCAGAACUCCUGGAAUGGGUUCUGGCAGAAAGGCUCCGGCGCCUCAGGAUGGGUCUGCGGCCUAUCAGGGUAGUAGUGGGUGUAACGUACCUACUAGCCUACGACGGGUACGGGUUGUGAGAGCAAGAGCCCGGAGAUGGAUUCUGAGACAUGAAUCCAGGCCCUACGGGGUGCAGCAGGCGCGAAAACUUUACAAUGCGGGCAACCGCGAUAAGGGGACCUCGAGCGCUGGGUUACAAACCUGGCUGUUGGGCUGCCUAAAAAGCAGUCUAUAGCAAGGGCCGGGCAAGACCGGUGCCAGCCGCCGCGGUAACACCGGCGGCUCGAGUGGUAACCGCUAUUAUUGGGUCUAAAGGGUCUGUAGCCGGCCGACUAAGUCUCUUGGGAAACCUGGCAUCUCAAGUGUCAGGCUGCCAGGGGAUACUGGUCGGCUUGGGACCGGGAGAGGUGAGAGGUACCUCGGGGGUAGGGGUGAAAUCUUGUAAUCCUCGAGGGACCACCAGUGGCGAAGGCGUCUCAC